CCAAAGGGACCAGCCCAGGCUGGAGAACAAACAUCCCCAUGGCACUUAGUGAGACAAGCUGUGUGAUCUUUCUUCAGCACUGCUCAGCCACCGGAGGGAGCAGAGCAGGAAGGAGAUAGAGAACUAAUCCCAAACCAGAAAUCAGCAGGAGAUUGGCUGCAACAAAAGGAGCAUAAGGGUGGACAGAGACUGGAGGGGGGUCAGGAGGAGGGAAAAUAAGGAGUGGGCGUGCUGGAAGGAAAACAAGUUGUAUGAGAUGACAGUUGGAGCAAAAUUAUAAUAAGAUCAAAAAUGAUUUUCCCCAGGGACUCUGUGUGUAGUGAUACUUCUGACAUACCGCUAAGGAUGAUUUUUGUUUACUUUUAUAGAUCUAAGCAGUUUUGUCCAUUUUUCAGAGAUUUACAAAAAUCUUUUUCCCCACAAUUUUUUCCUUCUGUCUUUCUCUAUGGCUGUCUCUGCUCUGUAAUGUUUAUAAUAGCAAACAUUUAGAAACAGACUAAACAAUAAUAAAGACAGUGAAAUUCAAUUUUGUUGGGUGACCAUUUAAGUGGAAGGAUCCCAUUUUUGUUUUAAAAACAUGUAAAUAUGGACAGAAAAAGCAUCUAAGGGAUAUUUGCCAACAUGGUUUCCUCCAGCAGUGCAUUCCCACUCUUCAGGCAGUGGGACCGAGAGCUGGAUCUGUGCACGGUGACUGGGUGGGGUCUGUUGUCUUUCCACCGUGUUGUUUGGUGCCAUCGCCAGUGUGCGUGGGCAGAAGCCAGCCUUGCUCCAGAACUUUGAUCAAGACAAGGAUACCCAGCUCAGGUCCUGGAGGCCCAUCUGCUCUAAAGGAGAGCUGAGUCCAGAGCCAAAGGGAACACACUGUACUCCUAAAAGAAAGGAAUUUACAUCAGCUGGCUAAUUGCAUCCAAUCCUCUGGAUUCGUGAUCAAGAAUACAGACCGUCCUGCCUACUGACGCUGAAGGUGUGAGUACAGUCAAACCCUUUGUAACAUGUUGCAUAAUUGUGGACUCAGAUAUACCACAAUCGAAGCAUUUCUCCUCAAACCCAAUUCCAUAAAGGAAAAGCCUGAUGAAAACCAAUUAAGGCUGAGACUGUAUUAACCUUGUCUCCGCAAGUCAGAGCUCUAAAAGAGUUUUCCAUGCAUUCAUUAAACAGAUACUUAUUGAAUAGCUAGUCUGUGCAAGGUACUGCACCAGGUACAGGGAAUAAAACAGUGACUUAGAGGCAUCUUCUGCCUCUGAAGACAUGUAGAGUCGUGUUGGGAUAAUCCGACAUGUCUCCAGGAAGCUAUCACACAGUUACAAACUGGAAAAAACAUCCUGAGAGAGAUGGAUAGUGGUGUCGUUUAAGAAGUGGAUAGCCCUGGGAAUCUGGUCAUGACACCACCCCUAACUUGAGUGAGUGUGGGCGUUUCACAACCACAAUGAGACUCAAUGUCUUCAUCUGUAAAAUGGAAAUUGUGAUAGUACAUUGACCUCAUCCAACUGCAGUCAGAAGUCAACGAGAUGACACAUCUGAAAUGCUUAGCACAGUGCCUGCCCUGCAGUAUGUGUUAAUGACUGUUAGGGAUUAUUACUGAUAUUUCUAAGAUGUGGGGGAGAGAGGGCACUUCCAGCUGGAGGGACAAGGUGGGAGUUCCUUUAGGGGGCAGCAUUUGAGCUGGAUCUUAAAGAGUGAGUUAGAUUUGGACUUAGGGAUGUGGCAGAGAGAACCAAGAAAAGAGGAGGCCAUGUGGGGGAUUAGUGAGCAGUUGAUGAUUUUUGUUGUGUUUUAUUGUUUGUUUUCCUAUGUAGCACAGACAGCUUGAAAAACAACAGUGGAGAAUUCAUGUUGAAGAGACAGGCUAGGGAAGAUGAUAAAGGAUCUUUAAUGCCAGGCUCAGGAAUCUGGGUUUAAUUUCAAAGACAUUCCUAUGACUAAAUUUUGGAUAAGGGAAUGGGAAAAAAAGUUAUAGUGUUCUUCAGGAAGAUUGGACUGGAAGCAAUGGGUAAGAACGAUGGAGGAGUGGGGAGAUACAUCUUGGAAAGCCAGUUAGAUGUCUAAACAAAAAGAAAAUGACACAGGUCUGCUUGCACGUCCCCUCCAAAUAUACACAGCCCACUGAGCUCAGAUGGAGCCCCAAAAUCUGCUCCAGGCAGCUAUUGGUACUUGAUCAGUGCUGCCUUGAAAGACGAAAUGUAUUAUUAUCCAUCCCUGAAGCAGGGCCACAACAGAAGAAUGAGAGGGCUUUGGCUGAUGUCCAUCCAGCAAACACAUCCUGCUCUCGAAUGGAAAGGGGCAAAAGAAACCUGACUUUUCUGACAGUCUCUGUGGGAUCCAACAGGAACAGCCGUCAUAAGCUGAAAAGUGAUAGCAAAGUCAAUUUUCAACCAUUAGAGAGGGAGGACUCAGUUUUUGGUUCAUACAGACAAACUGUUCUCUCCUGGUAUUUUCUAGGCAGGGCCGUGCACAACAGUCAAAUAGCUCCUUGGAAACUAGACAUUUGAGUAGAAGAGAGUUAUUUGAUUCAUAGUGGAUUUUGGUUUUCCACAAUACCUCUGUGCCCCAUCUAGUAAGAUCUGGUGGAAAUUACAAACUGUAGAAAUUCAACUCAGUGUCACAAUAACAGGAUGCACCUGUAGAUUUCGUAGAAUUGGCUGCAACAUUCUCUCAACCCCAGAUUGAGAGAAAUAAGACUGUUUGCAUAGCAUCAACUGGGGCGAAGUCUGAAGCCGUAUUAUGUACCUCUCAGUGAUGGAAGGUACCAACCAUGGCAGAUGCUGUCUACCCAACCACCCACUGAACACACAGGGAUUGAAGACCUCCAUGCUCCACUUCUCCUGCUCUGGUUGAUUUGCUAUUCGGGGAAUUAGCAAUUUGACAGAUGUGUUUGCAUUUAGUUGGGGAUUUUUCUAGUACUUAACCCCCGUAAUUAGAUUCCGGGCUCUUUGAGAGCAGGAGGUCCUUUUUAAUUUGUUUUUGAAUCUCCCAGACCCUGGGUGGAGUGCUUUGUUUCUGGAUUCUUAAUUGGUAUCCACUGAACUGAAUUACAUUAAAGGAGGCACCCAAGAGCAUGUGGACUAUGAAUAAAGUAAAAUGUGGGACCUCAACUGGAGAUUUCAGGUGCACAUCUAAGAGACAAAGGAUGAAAGGACAGAAAGGGCUGGGAAACCACAGGCCUGGGCAAACAACCUCUUAUUGAACCUAAAAAGAAUACCAACUAUGUAAACAACAGGCUCCCUGCACCACCCCUGGUCAUUGGAAACCGCUAUCCAAGAAGGCCAACGGUUCUCUUCUCUUUGGAUUCUGACUCUGAGAUCACAGCUCAGCAAAUCACACUGCUAGAGAAGGAGAGAGCGAGAUGAGAGAGCGAGGCCGCUUUUAUGUGGUGCAGCUGGUAAGGCAGAGCAGGCCUGAGUGUUCAAAGGACACUGCAGAACCUAUCAGUCAUUUCCCUUGUCAAAG
rnacentral:lncRNA from 1 species